GACGAACGCUGGCGGCGUGCCUAAUACAUGCAAGUAGGACGCAGUUGCGAACGGGUGAGUAACGCGUAGGUAACUACCUAUUAGAGGGGGAUAACUAUUGGAAACGAUAGCUACUACCGCAUACUAGUAGAUGGACCUGCGUUGUAAUAGCUAGUAGGUAGGGUAAUGGACUACCGAGGCAAAGAUACCUCACCGACCUGAGAGGGUGAACGGCCACAAUGGGACUGAGACACGGCCCAGACUCCUACGGGAGGCAGCAGUAGGGAAGCUUCGGCAAUGGGGGGAACCCUGACCGAGCACAGCCGGGUGAGUGAAGAAGGUUUUCAGAUCGUAAAGCUCUGUUGUUAUGGAAGCGGUACUUAACCAGAAAGGGACGGCUAACUACGUGCCAGCAGCCGCGGUAAUAC
rnacentral:rRNA from 1 species